rnacentral:lncRNA from 1 species
UAUUUUAUGCAGCAAUGGCAGCAAUUGACAAUUAUGUCAUGAUUAUGUCGUUGACACCUAUUUCCAUCCUAUUUCUUAGACGUUUUAUAUUAUAUCUUGUGUUUUAAUGGUGUAGCUUGUAGCUAAUUGCUUUUUGACCGUUUAGAUGAUUUAACAGAUGCACUGAAGUUAAUUUUCAUCUUACUAGAACAGCACAUCCUACAUAAUAAGAAGACUGUUGCAACUUGGUUGCAAUUUUCAGCAUCCUUCAGUUUAUGAAAUUCGUCAGUAAAUAUUCAUACAGUUCUAUGAUGGAUCAGUGGUGCUCAUCAUUUAAACAGUCACAAUCAGAUUUAAAGUGUUUCCAAUUCUUGUUUGGCUUUCUCUCCACCCUUGUAAAACUUUGGAACGUUGCAUGCUGCAGUUAACUAAGAUCAAGAAAGUAGAGAUGACAAAGAAGACAUAGUCAGAAUGAGAAACACUAAAACAUGUUAUCUUUCUUCCUGUGUUUGCCUUACUCUUUACAUUUGGAAUGUUGCAUUCUGCAGUUAAUUAAGAUCAUUGGUGCAGAAGACAAACAGGACACCCACAUUUGAAUGUUUUUUUUUUUAUUCAAUCUUUUUCUGCAUGAUUUUUAAUUGAAUUAAUUUUUGGUUUGCAUGUUUU